rnacentral:rRNA from 2 species
CAUGCAAGUCGAACGGUGAAGCCAAGCUUGCUUGGUGGAUCAGUGGCGAACGGGUGAGUAACACGUGAGCAACCUGCCCUGGACUCUGGGAUAAGCGCUGGAAACGGCGUCUAAUACUGGAUAUGAGCUCUCAUCGCAUGGUGGGGGUUGGAAAGAUUUUUCGGUCUGGGAUGGGCUCGCGGCCUAUCAGCUUGUUGGUGAGGUAAUGGCUCACCAAGGCGUCGACGGGUAGCCGGCCUGAGAGGGUGACCGGCCACACUGGGACUGAGACACGGCCCAGACUCCUACGGGAGGCAGCAGUGGGGAAUAUUGCACAAUGGGCGGAAGCCUGAUGCAGCAACGCCGCGUGAGGGAUGACGGCCUUCGGGUUGUAAACCUCUUUUAGCAGGGAAGAAGCGAGAGUGACGGUACCUGCAGAAAAAGCGCCGGCUAACUACGUGCCAGCAGCCGCGGUAAUACGUAGGGCGCAAGCGUUAUCCGGAAUUAUUGGGCGUAAAGAGCUCGUAGGCGGUUUGUCGCGUCUGCUGUGAAAUCCCGAGGCUCAACCUCGGGCCUGCAGUGGGUACGGGCAGACUAGAGUGCGGUAGGGGAGAUUGGAAUUCCUGGUGUAGCGGUGGAAUGCGCAGAUAUCAGGAGGAACACCGAUGGCGAAGGCAGAUCUCUGGGCCGUAACUGACGCUGAGGAGCGAAAGGGUGGGGAGCAAACAGGCUUAGAUACCCUGGUAGUCCACCCCGUAAACGUUGGGAACUAGUUGUGGGGACCAUUCCACGGUUUCCGUGACGCAGCUAACGCAUUAAGUUCCCCGCCUGGGGAGUACGGCCGCAAGGCUAAAACUCAAAGGAAUUGACGGGGACCCGCACAAGCGGCGGAGCAUGCGGAUUAAUUCGAUGCAACGCGAAGAACCUUACCAAGGCUUGACAUACACCAGAACACCGUAGAAAUACGGGACUCUUUGGACACUGGUGAACAGGUGGUGCAUGGUUGUCGUCAGCUCGUGUCGUGAGAUGUUGGGUUAAGUCCCGCAACGAGCGCAACCCUCGUUCUAUGUUGCCAGCACGUAAUGGUGGGAACUCAUGGGAUACUGCCGGGGUCAACUCGGAGGAAGGUGGGGAUGACGUCAAAUCAUCAUGCCCCUUAUGUCUUGGGCUUCACGCAUGCUACAAUGGCCGGUACAAAGGGCUGCAAUACCGUGAGGUGGAGCGAAUCCCAAAAAGCCGGUCCCAGUUCGGAUUGAGGUCUGCAACUCGACCUCAUGAAGUCGGAGUCGCUAGUAAUCGCAGAUCAGCAACGCUGCGGUGAAUACGUUCCCGGGUCUUGUACACACCGCCCGUCAAGUCAUGAAAGUCGGUAACACCUGAAGCCGGUGGCCCAACCCUUGUGGAGGGAGCCGUCGAA